UUUGAAAUAAAAAUAUUUGAGCAAUGCUCCUGUACACUAAAAAGAACCCGGCCCUUAAAUUUUUUAAAAUAAAUAGUAAAAAUAUCUUUUAGUUAAGAGGUUGACUGACUUUUGUUGUCUUAGAUACCAGUCACCCUCUUAUCAAGGAUAAACUAUUUUCUUAUAUACAAAAUUAAUAUAAAGGGCUUUUUUAUAAAUUUAUAUUUUCAUUCACAUAAUGCCCCUCUAGUAAUUAUAAAAUAUCUCAUUCUAUUUUUGGAAAGUUUUCACCCUCAAAUAUUGCUAU
rnacentral:lncRNA from 1 species